rnacentral:rRNA from 1 species
UACGUAGGGCGCAAGCGUUGUCCGGAAUUAUUGGGCGUAAAGAGCUCAUAGGCGGCUUGUCACGUCGGGUGUGAAAGCCCGGGGCUUAACCCCGGGUCUGCAUUCGAUACGGGCUAGCUAGAGUGUGGUAGGGGAGAUCGGAAUUCCUGGUGUAGCGGUGAAAUGCGCAGAUAUCAGGAGGAACACCGGUGGCGAAGGCGGAUCUCUGGGCCAUUACUGACGCUGAGGAGCGAAAGCGUGGGGAGCGAACAGG